rnacentral:lncRNA from 1 species
UUAUUUCAUUUAGCAUAAUUUUCUCCAUUUCCAUCCGUUUACCAGCAGAUGCCAUUAUUUCAUUCCUCAUUCUUCAUGACUAAAUAAAACUCCAUUGUAUAAAUAUGUGUGUGGGGGUGGGUGUGUGUGUAUUUGCCACAUUUUCUUGAUUCAUUCAUCUAUUGAGAGACAUCAGGAUUGAUUCCAUAAUUUGGUUAUUGUGAAUUAUGUUGCUAUAAACAUUGAAGUGACUGUAACACUGUAGUAGGUUGAUUUUAGUUCUUUUGGGAUAGCUGGGUCAUAUUACGGUUUCCUUCCUAGUUUUUCCUAGGAAUCUCCACACUGAUUUCCAGAGUGGUUGUACUAAUUUGUAAUCCCACCAACAAUGUGCUAAUUCACCUUGGUUCCCAUGUGAUCUUCUAAAACAAAAAUACAUAAAGACUCCAUAUUGACAGUUUCCAAUUCAACUUAUACACUAUACUUUUUAUAUAACUUAACUUUAUUAGACUUAUCUUUUUAAUUACUUUUUUCUCAUGCCAAAAAUUCCUUGUCUUAAUAACACUAACAUAAUUGCUACUUUUCUUUAUACUACCGUGUAAAUUCAAAGGCUGGUAAUUAUGCCAAUACCACCAUAAGUAAUUUUAUUAUGGAGGGCAGUUUUGUAUUUUUAAAUUUUUGCUGUUCUUUCUUGUCCUUAAAGUAUAUCCCCCUAAAAUCAUACAAUCAAUAAAAUU